GUGUGACCUUGCUAUCCAACCUCAACAUACCUUGCUCUAUUGUGACGAUGAGGUUACUGUCCACAUCACUCACAAUCCUGUUUUUCAUAAGCACACCAAACAUGUUGAAAUCGAUUGCCCUUUUGUGCGUGAAAAAUAUCUCUCUGGACUCAUUCUUCCUAAGACAAAAUUUUCUCAAUUCUAAUCGAGUAGGCGUGUUGUGCUUGUUCUUUUGAGUAAUAUAUUUGGAAAUGCCCUUUGAUACCUUCUUAACUAGUAGUUAGUAUGGUGGAGUGCAGGCUUAGUUUUGAAAUAAAAUAAGAUCUUGGAUAGGAAAGGCUCAAUCUAAUAUGGGCAACUAACUCGUGGGGCAUGAUAUCCCACAAAUCCUUAAAUACUUGCUACACUUCCCAAGAAACAAGUCAUCUUAGUAUUGGAUCCGCUCUUCUGUUAGCAUGAAAACGAAUUAGAUUCUAUUCAUCCUACCAAGUUUCAACUGGCUGAUAUCUUUACCAAUUCUCUUGGGAAGGAUCUUCUCCAUUAAUUCACUCUCAAGUUGGGCAUUACGGACUUCCAUGCUCCAACUUGAGUGGGAGUAUUAACCAUGAUUAUAGGGAUCACAGAGAUUAGUCUUGUUUCCUUAAAUGGCGGAUUCUACAUACUUAUGUACACCAAUGUAUUGCAUAUUCAAUUAAUGAAAUUACUUCAUUCCAUACGAAACUUAACAACUAUAAACAAAUUUUCUGCGACCCACUACUAUUUCUUUUUAUAUAUCAUUUAUAAAUUUUCCAAGCAGGCUAAAUAAGUCUUUUUGUCCCAUUCCUAGUAACAGUGUAAUCAAUCUCUGCCGAAAAUUGCUUUUGCUACCUCUGUUUUCUCAGAAAUUGGAUUCUUAGCUGCACUUUUAAUUCAUUGAAAAAAAUAAAAAUAAAAAUUUACCAUUUCAAACGAUAAGUACAACAUCCCGCAAUUGGUGAAUUCAGUAAACAGGAUACUGGCAUGGAGCAAAAACAAUCUAG
rnacentral:lncRNA from 1 species